AGACAAUAAAAGGAUUGUUGGAUGCCCUAAUUGUGAAGAUGAAGAUGAGCAUAAUGUUGUUUAGUUUUGGCUAGUGAAACGAAAGCCACGCGAAUUCCCUGUCUACUCAGUACUUUGAGGUUUUUAGCAAGUGUUUGGGAAGUCAACUAAUUUGAUGACUCUGCAGGGAU